rnacentral:lncRNA from 1 species
AGGGGUGGUGUCAAUUUAGUUGGCACAACUUGUUUGGUUUUUAUUCCCUUUGCUCUCAACUUUGUUGAGAGUUUGUUACAACUACUUUUUGAUUGUUAUUAUUCUUGAUUAGUUGAAGGAUCAAAAAAGGAUUUUUGAUUUCUUCAAGAAUCAAGAAAGAAAGAUUAAAAGGGUCAUCAAAGGGGUUCUAUUUCUAUCCAGAUUUGGUACAGGCCAGGCUUUGAGUUCAAGUGAAUUGUAUCAAGAGAAACCUAUCUA